GACGAACGCUGGCGGCGUGCUUAACACAUGCAAGUCGAACGGAAAGGCCCUGCUUUUGUGGGGUGCUCGAGUGGCGAACGGGUGAGUAACACGUGAGUAACCUGCCCUUGACUUUGGGAUAACUUCAGGAAACUGGGGCUAAUACCGGAUAGGAGCUCCUGCUGCAUGGUGGGGGUUGGAAAGUUUCGGCGGUUGGGGAUGGACUCGCGGCUUAUCAGCUUGUUGGUGGGGUAGUGGCUUACCAAGGCUUUGACGGGUAACCGGCCUGAGAGGGUGACCGGCCACAUUGGGACUGAGAUACGGCCCAGACUCCUACGGGAGGCAGCAGUGGGGAAUAUUGCACAAUGGGCGGGAGCCUGAUGCAGCAACGCCGCGUGCGGGAUGACGGCCUUCGGGUUGUAAACCGCUUUCGCCUGUGACGAAGCGUGAGUGACGGUAAUGGGUAAAGAAGCACCGGCUAACUACGUG
rnacentral:rRNA from 1 species